AUAUACUCAACCUCUUUGGUUGGAUUUGGGGGUUUUGCUGGACUCUUUUCUGAGGUCAGCUCCUCUAAAAUGCAUUAGCAAAACAGUUUGUCGAUCGUUCAUUGGUGUGAUAAUUAUCUACGCUAUUGACGUGAGAAAGGCAGGUUUAGCUCAUAACAGUCCAUUGACUUGGACAAGAGACAAUUUAUUA
rnacentral:misc_RNA from 1 species